rnacentral:rRNA from 1 species
UCCGUAGGCGGUGUGGCAAGUCGGAAGUGAAAUCUCUGGGCUUAACUCAGAGGCUGCUUCCGAAACUGCCGUGCUAGAGUGCGAGAGAGGCAAGUGGAAUUGCGGGUGUAGUGGUGAAAUGCGUAGAUAUCCGCAGGAACAUCCGAGGCGAAAGCGGCUUGCUGGAUCGCAACUGACGCUGAGGGACGAAAGCUAGGGGAGCAAACAGGAUUAGAUACCCUGGUAGUCCUAGCCCUAAACCAUCAGGACUUGGGGUUUGCCCUGUACGGGGCAAGUCCCGUAGCUAACGCGUUAAGUCCUGCGCCUGGGGAGUACGGUCGCAAGGCUGAA